rnacentral:rRNA from 1 species
GAUGAACGCUGGCGGCGUGCCUAAUACAUGCAAGUCGAGCGAACAGACGAGGAGCUUGCUCCUCUGACGUUAGCGGCGGACGGGUGAGUAACACGUGGAUAACCUACCUAUAAUACUGGGAUAACUUCGGGAAACCGGAGCUAAUACCGGAUAAUAUAUUUAACCGCAUGGUUCAAUAGUGAAAGACGGUUUUGCUGUCACUUAUAGAUGUAUCCGCGCCGCAUUAGCUAGUUGGUAAGGUAACGGCUUACCAAGGCAACGAUGCGUAGCCGACCUGAGAGGGUGAUCGGCCACACUGGAACUGAGACACGGUCCAGACUCCUACGGGAGGCAGCAGUAGGGAAUCUUGCGCAAUGGGCGAAAGCUUGACGGAGCAACGCCGCGUGAGUGAUGAAGGUCUUCGGAUCGUAAAACUCUGUUAUUAGGGAAGAACAAAUGUGUAAGUAACUAUGCACGUCUUGACGGUACCUAAUCAGAAAGCCCCGGCUAACUACGUG